GGGCGUCCCUUACUCUUUAUGAGUAAAGACGCACCAAGAGCGCACGAGCUGAUACCCGAAAGAUGGUGAACUAUGCCUGGCCAGGACGAAGCCAGGGGAAACCCUGGUGGAGGUCCGCAGCGAUUCUGACGUGCAAAUCGAUCGUCGGAGCUGGGUAUAGGGGCGAAAGACCAAUCGAACCAUCUAGUAGCUGGUUCCCUCUGAAGUUUCCCUCAGGAUAGCUUGCGCUCUGGGAGUCUCAUCCGGUAGAGCGAAUGAUUAGAGGCCUUGGGGUCGAAACGACCUCAACCUAUUCUCAAACUCCAAAUAGAUGAGAUCCGCGGCUUGCUUGAAAGUGAAGCCGUCGGAAUAAUUGGAUCUGGGUGCAAAGUGGGCCAUUUUU
rnacentral:rRNA from 1 species